AGAGUUUGAUCCUGGCUCAGGAUGAACGCUGGCGGCGUGCUUAACACAUGCAAGUCGAACGAAGCACCUUGAUUUGAUUUUUCGGAUGAAGAUCUUGGUGACUGAGUGGCGGACGGGUGAGUAACGCGUGGGUAACCUGCCUCAUACAGGGGGAUAACAGUUAGAAAUGACUGCUAAUACCGCAUAAGACCACAGCACCGCAUGGUGCAGGGGUAAAAACUCCGGUGGUAUGAGAUGGACCCGCGUCUGAUUAGGUAGUUGGUGGGGUAACGGCCUACCAAGCCGACGAUCAGUAGCCGACCUGAGAGGGUGACCGGCCACAUUGGGACUGAGACACGGCCCAAACUCCUACGGGAGGCAGCAGUGGGGAAUAUUGCACAAUGGGGGAAACCCUGAUGCAGCGACGCCGCGUGAGCGAUGAAGUAUUUCGGUAUGUAAAGCUCUAUCAGCAGGGAAGAAAAUGACGGUACCUGACUAAGAAGCACCGGCUAAAUACGUGCCAGCAGCCGCGGUAAUACGUAUGGUGCAAGCGUUAUCCGGAUUUACUGGGUGUAAAGGGAGCGUAGACGGAGUGGCAAGUCUGAUGUGAAAACCCGGGGCUCAACCCCGGGACUGCAUUGGAAACUGUCAAUCUAGAGUACCGGAGAGGUAAGCGGAAUUCCUAGUGUAGCGGUGAAAUGCGUAGAUAUUAGGAGGAACACCAGUGGCGAAGGCGGCUUACUGGACGGUAACUGACGUUGAGGCUCGAAAGCGUGGGGAGCAAACAGGAUUAGAUACCCUGGUAGUCCACGCCGUAAA
rnacentral:rRNA from 1 species